rnacentral:pre_miRNA from 1 species
UAACGUUAAAUUAGUAUGGAAUAGGAACGUUUUCCUGCGUUUGCCGCUAGGGGCGCUGUUCGAACUGUAUACGAAUUUGAGUUA